GCAUCCCUGCCAUUUUGAAAUGGCUGAAAGAGAAGAGCCGAGGUAGAGACGGAUCGAGGGAGGCUGGGAUCGCAAGAGAGCAAGAGGGUGAGCAAUCGGAAGAGAGCAUGGCCGGGCGAGGCUUCGCGCAUGAGAGAAAUCGAGAGAGUGAGGCGAGGCCGAUUUCUAAGGCAGAGAAGGCAGCGACCAUCGGCGUCCAUGGCUGGUUGUAGAGGCUUGAGAAGGCAGUGUCAAUGGUGGUCUAGCAAGGGUCGAUGGCGAGCGGGAAUGCGGAAGCAGCCUGCGGGGUCGCGACCAUCAGCGAUAGGAGGCCAUUGGGUCGGUGAGGACGGCUGGAUGAAGCUGGAGCGGCUGGUUGCAAUAGCCAUGGCAGUAGCGGGCGGCGCUGGAGCAGCCGCGAGGGGCUGGUGGUGACCAUGGCAGCGGUCGGCGAGGCCAGUGAAGGCUGUUGCGGCUGCUAGCUAGGCCGAAGGCGACUCGGGAUGGCCAAACAGCAAGCUCCUCGUGCAUGGCCAUGGCGGUUGUGUUGAAACGGCAGCACACAGGGGCAGCUCGCGGUGGAGCUGCGCAACCAAGCUACGGCGGGGCUGGCCGUGGCGACGGUUAGCGACGGCGAGGCCGGCAGGCGGAGAGGCCGCGGGGCCGUCGGGCGUUGCAGAAGAAGCAUGUGAAGAAGAAGAUGCAGCAAAGAAGAUGAAGGAACAGGGGCGCGGGGGAGGUGAAGAAGAAAGGAAAAGAAUAAAAGAAAAAGAAAAAAAAGAAAAUAAGGAAAAUCUAGAAAAUAAGGAAAAAAUAGGAGAAAAUCCUGGAAAUUUCUAGAAAAAGUGGGGAAAGUUCUGGAAAUUAAAUUGGGCCUUGAAGAGUGUGUCGGAAGCUCGAAAAUGGGAUUUUGGGCACAAAUGGCAGCUUGUGAGGCAACGCCGGUGUGGGCGUUUUUCGAAUUUCUCUCCAGAUGAGUCGAGGUUCGACCGGGAAGGCCGUGAUCCUAGCGAAACUUGAGAUUUAGGCUGGAAUUCAUGCCGAGGUAGAGAUGAGGCUUAUAGCCAGGUAAGGGAUGGCCCCAUGUGGAGAUGGUCUUGCAAGUUGGUAAAUGUGUUUGAUAAUGUUUUUAUGUUACUUUGGCAUGUAGUGGUUAUAUCUUGUGUGAUGCAAGAACUAGUGGACCUGUGGCCAUAUGGAGGACUAGUGGUGGGGGCUGAUAGGUUGAUGCCUCAAACCUUAGUGGGUUGUGAGGAUGUGUGAGCCUAGCCUCAUUUGCAUGCAUUUGGCAUACAUAAACAUGAUUAUAUUCAUAUUUACAUGCAUUGCACCCUUACUGAGUCUUUAUGACUCAUGAGGUUUUACCUCAUGUGUAGAUGUUGCAAGUCCAGAUACAAGAAGGGAUGGCGCCGGGAGGCCGUUGUGGCAACUAGCUGUGUUGCCCGAGUUAUGUAUUUUUUAAUAUUGCUUGUAUGUAGCCAGGGGGCGUGGUGUAUGUAUACAAUUGUGAGUAAAUGACUGUGUUAUUGAGCUUAAAUGUAUUUACUUGUUGUAA